rnacentral:rRNA from 1 species
AUUGAACGCUGGCGGCAUGCCUUACACAUGCAAGUCGAACGGUAACAGGUCUUCGGAUGCUGACGAGUGGCGAACGGGUGAGUAAUACAUCGGAACGUGCCCGAUCGUGGGGGAUAACGAAGCGAAAGCUUUGCUAAUACCGCAUACGAUCUACGGAUGAAAGCGGGGGAUCUUCGGACCUCGCGCGGACGGAGCGGCCGAUGGCAGAUUAGGUAGUUGGUGGGAUAAAAGCUUACCAAGCCGACGAUCUGUAGCUGGUCUGAGAGGAUGAUCAGCCACACUGGGACUGAGACACGGCCCAGACUCCUACGGGAGGCAGCAGUGGGGAAUUUUGGACGAUGGGCGCAAGCCUGAUCCAGCCAUGCCGCGUGCAGGAUGAAGGCCUUCGGGUUGUAAACUGCUUUUGUACGGAACGAAAAGGUGCCUUCUAAUAAAGGGCGCUCAUGACGGUACCGUAAGAAUAAGCACCGGCUAACUACGUG